UACGUAGGGUGCGAGCGUUGUCCGGAAUUACUGGGCGUAAAGAGCUCGUAGGUGGUUUGUCGCGUCGUCUGUGAAAUUCCGGGGCUUAACUUCGGGCGUGCAGGCGAUACGGGCAAUACUUGAGUGCUGUAGGGGAGACUGGAAUUCCUGGUGUAGCGGUGGAAUGCGCAGAUAUCAGGAGGAACACCGAUGGCGAAGGCAGGUCUCUGGGCAGUAACUGACGCUGAGUAGCGAAAGCAUGGGUAGCGAACAGGAUUAGAUA
rnacentral:rRNA from 1 species